CGGGACAAAAAGUGCGAUUUUUUGACAAUAACAAACAAAAACUAUCUUCGUACCUACGUUAUGUACUUUAUUACAAAGAUAUUAUUUUUCGAAAUAACUUCAGUAAGAAAGAUUUUUUUAUUUGAGUUGGCACAUCUUAAUGUGCCAACUCAAAACGGCACUAAAAUCUGCGUUGUUGCAAUUUAAUAAAUUUUGAGAUAAUUACUACUGCAGAAUAUGAAAUAACACUAUGAGAUUAUAGAAUUUUAUUAUUACCUAUUACUUUCAUCACAAAACAUUAAAUAACUCGGAAACUAAAACCUGUUUUUCACGCGGAACGUCACUUACCUGUAUUGUGCCAAUUUUCAAAUAAAAUGCAUUGUCAAAGCAGUGAAAUAAGCCUCAAUUAAAAAGUUGUAUGAUUUAAAUUCGAACAAACAAACCUACCUACCAACACACAAACAAAACAAGUCAAAUAUGACUCUUUUUAAUUGUUCAUUCAAACCUAACUUAACCUACAAAAAUACCUAAAGAUUUUCCUUUUUAUGAUAAUAGGGUAUAUGCAUGUAUUUUUUAAAUGUUUUUAAAUGGUAAUUUACAUCAUUAUAUAAAUGUUAAAAAAAACCAGCACCAAAAAAAAAAAGGAAUUCGGGUAAAAAAAGCAGUUUUAAAAUAAUAGAUUCGUAACUGCAUUUUAAACGACCGUCAUUUUGGCGCGCUCGCGUGACGUCAAAGUCUAUAAUAACAGUUGAAACUGCAAAGUGUUUUGGGUCAUAAUUUGUAUAUAUUUCGUGUUUUACGUGAAUUCACUUCAAUUACAUAAUGCAACAGGAUAGUAAACCGACUUUUAAAUAUUGUAUCGUGCCCAAGUGUAAAAAUACAAAUAGAAAUGCACCAAAUAAAGUAUUUUUUCUUGUCCCGAGAGGUGAGGACGUAAGGAGAAAGUGGUGCAAAAUCAUGAAAAGGGACAUGAUAUCUCCAUCAACUUGUUUAUAUUGUUGUGAAGAUCAUUUUGACUUAGAAGAAGACACAGCUAAUUAUAUUCAGUACAAAAUAAUGAAUAUACAGGAAAAACAGAAAACUGUAUUACGAUUGAAGAAAGGCAUCCUUCCUCACAAAUUUCAGUGUCAAAAGAAUACUACACCACAGCCGUCAUUGGAGAGGCAAGCUUACAAAAAGAGAAGACACUUAGAAAUAAUUGAAGAAGCUUUAUCUGCUGUGCCUGCUAAACAAAGUGUCAGCACUCUAACUGUAUCAUCGCAAGUUGAUCAUGAAGAAGCAAGUACAUCUUCAUCUCAGAUAUACGCAGAGAAUAUAGAAAUGAAAAACCUUUGUGAAGCUGGUUGCAGUGCUUCAUUAUCUACUGAGAACAGAAUAUAUGUCGAUAAAGCUGUUCAAGUGAAUAGUAAAAACUAUUACCGAAGUAAAGGUGUUAAUAUUAAUUUUUGUGCCAAGAAAAAAACACUGCGACAUCUCCAUUUAAAAUAUCAAAAAAAACCAUUUCAACUUCCCCUUUAAAAAUAACUCAUACAUCUGCAAAAAGAGUACUCUGCAGAGAUAGUGAUAGUAUUGAAUCAGUCUCUUCUGCUCAAGUUACUGUGCUAUCAUCAUUAUCUUCCGAACCAGAUAUAAGUUCAUCACAAUGCAGUUGGGCUGAAGAGGCUGAUUCAUAUACUGAAGCACAAUUUAAAAGUCAAAUGCGUACUUGUACUUUAGUAUCGAUUGAAAUGGAACCUAAAAUGUUGAUAGGUUUACCAAAAAAGUCAUACUAUUUAAUAAAACUAUUAAGUGAUAACAUACCUCUACCCACCGUAGAUAUUUUAAUUACUUUAAAGAAAAUAAAAUUAAAUGAGUCUGUCAGUAUCUUAGCAAUGCAAUUUGGAUAUACGCAGAGUACAAUAAGCAGAAUUUUUAAAAAAGUGUACCUGUAUUGGCAAUGAAGAUGAAGGAACUUAUUGCAUGGCAAACAUCUGCUAAGGUUUUUAAAAAAUUACCUAUAGCAUUCAGGGCCAGGUAUUCUAAUGUUAUUUCUAUAAUAGAUUGCCUAGAAAUACAAAUUGAAAAGCCAACGAAUGCAGUCUACCAGUCACUAACUUGGUCGCAGUACAAAAAGUGUAAUACUUUGAAGUAUUUAAUUUCUUGUACCCCUGAUGGCUUGGUCACUUUUAUCUCUGAUGGCUACGGAGGCAGGGCAACAGAUGUGAUGAUAGUGGAAGACUGUAGUUUUCUUAACUAUUUACAACCUGGUACUGCAAUUAUGGCAGACAGGGGCUUCAAAGACAUAUCCCACUUGUUAAUUAAAAAGAAUUGUACUCUUAUACGGCCCCCUUCUGUUAGUACGGCUACCGCUUGUACCAAAGAAGAAGUAAAGCAGGCAAAACGAAUUGCUGCAUUGAGAAUUCAUGUUGAACGCGUCAUAAGUAGACUAAGAGAAUUUCAUAUUUUACUUCCUCAUGCAUGUGUUGACCACCAUUUAGUCCCUGUUAUAGAUGGACAUUAUUAUAAUAGCCUGUGGUUUAAUAAAUAUGCAAGAUUUUUUAAUAAAAAAGUAGAUUUAUUUAAUUUUUGUUUUAUUUCUACUUAUUUAAAUAUUACAGGAAAAAUGGCAUUGGCCCAAAAAAUAGUACAUUUAUGUAAGUAGGUUGAAAUUGGGGUUUCUGGAUCAGAUGGGAUCCAGAAACACCCAAUUUCAACUAUCAUUCACAUAUUCGAAAGUAGGGGUUCCGAGAUUAGAUCCAGAAACACUCAAUUUCAACCAUCAUUCAUAUAUUCGAAAAUAGGUGCAAUGAUUUAAUUAUUCAUGAAAUUAAUAUUAAGGUAUGUAUUCUGCGACGCACCUGUAUACGUGUAAUGAGCAAGUGUGUAUCUGUGCUAAUACAACUUAUCCAUUCAGUAUUCAAUUGUGUAUUCGAUAAUUCAAUAUCAUCUAUUCAGCACAUUGCAGUGCAAAUAAUUGAAUGCGGUUAUACGUUCUCCGAUGUCGUCUUAUAUAAAGCUUACGAUAUACGUCAGUGAUGCGAUAACUUAUUUAUGUCAUUUCCACAAACAAGGUACACAAAUAUCAUUAUUAAAACUAGGGAGGUCCUGGGUUUGGUCCUGAUUCGAAACAAGUAUAACUAAGUAUAGUUUUCUAUUAGUAAAAUAUAAACACGGUUACACAGAUAUAGCUUGGUAUGUAAAAUGAUGUAUGUAUGUAUAUAUGUAUGUCUUGAUAAGUUAGACCUUAUCAAGGUAUAGCACCCUAUCUACUUCUACAGGAAUGAUCUAUUUACUUAAAAUUUUAUGACGUAGAAAUAAAAAGCAAAUAAUAUUUAGAAUGAUUAUAUUUUAAAUAUCAAUUACAUGAAGUUGAACUUAACUUUUUAACUAUUUUAGUAACUAAAUACUCAGUUGAACUCAUGAUUUCAUCAAUAUCGCUUCGCACUAAAUAUUGUAUAUUGACGCUUGCACUAUCUGGAUCACUGUCUAUUUCGUCCAUAUGACGACCAUCCACAUCAUGUACAAUUAUUUUUAUUAUUCGGCGAACGGUCCCGGACUCUUUACGCAUGACAAAGGAUUUGUUUUUAAAAGAUUUUGAUUUAUUUUUUUUCUUCUUUAAUUUUUCCUUUUCUAUUUCUUGCUGUCUACUCUCCUCACAUGCCUGUGCCGACACUUCGGCGUACCAGCUCUCUCGGUCUUGAGCAUAGUAAAAUGGAUUAAAAACUGGAUCUGAGCUCUCUAUCAAAUUCUGAAAUAAAAAUAUGCAUGAUUUUAAUUGCGUUAUUAAAUAGAAUUCAUUGUUAACAUCGAUAGUCGUUUAGAUACUUACGUUACGUUGUUGGUCAAUGUUAUCUAAAACAGGACUGUAGGAAGGUGAGCGUGACAUAUUCAAUUCUACGUCUAGACUUUGUUAAAUACCUAGAAAAAAAAAAACACUCUAAAUUAAUAUUUCAUUUACUAUUAUUUUAUCUCAAAAAGAUAAAUAAAAAUAAAAACAACUAUGAUUAAAACAUAGUGUUAUGUAGAAAUAAAUAUUGACUUAUGUACUAGACAUAUUAAAUAAUGAUUGUACCGUCUGAUAAUAAUGUUGGUAAUGUUUUUUAAUUGUUGGAUAAAAUACUGAGAAAUAAUAUUAAAACUUACCGAUAUUACACGAUAAAGACAGCUGCAACAGUCAGGUGUGUUUAUCGAUUUUUCUCUUUAUAUAUAAUUUAAUUGUAAUCUAUAGAGUUCAAAAUCGUACGUUUUUGCUAGGUAUUACAUUCUAUACGAAAAUGGUGUGAUGAAAUUGAAAACAUCUCAACACGUGCCCAACAACUUUGCAAUGUAAGUUGUAAUUCUUUUUAAGGGAUGGAUCAAAACAUCAAAACAAAAUAGCAAUAUCGAUAUACUAUUGUUACGCCUGGCUUUGCCCGCUAUUAUUAAACAUUUUUCAAAGUUAUAAUUUUUAUAUAUAAUAAAAAGAUAAAUAAAAAUAAAAACAACUAUGAUUAAAACAUAGUGUUAUGUAGAAAUAAAUAUUGACUUAUGUACUAGACAUAUUAAAUAAUGAUUGUACCGUCUGAUAAUAAUGUUGGUAAUGUUUUUUAAUUGUUGGAUAAAAUACUGAGAAAUAAUAUUAAAACUUACCGAUAUUACACGAUAAAGACAGCUUAAAUAAUUUUUCUCUUUAUAUAUAAUUUAAUUGUAAUCUAUAGAGUUCAAAAUCGUACGUUUUUGCUAGGUAUUACAUCCUAUACGAAAAUGGUGUGAUGAAAUUGAAAACAUCUCAACACGUGCCCAACAACUUUGCAAUGUAAGUUGUAAUUCUUUUUAAGGGAUGGAUCAAAACAUCAAAACGAAAUAGCAAUAUCGAUAUACUAUUGUUACGCCUGGCUUUGCCCGCUAUUAUUAAACAUUUUUCAUAGUUAUAAUUUUUAUAUCACCUGAAAAAAGAAGGUAAUAUUUUUAUUAGUUAUUAAUUUACUUAUAAAGAAGUGUCGGUACAUCUAUCUGCUGGGAUCGAAUACAAGAUUGAGUGAAUCGAUAUAUAUCGAUUCACUUAAUCUUAUGUGGUGUGGUUUACACCUUCAAAAAGAUUUAAAAUUAUUGAUGAAUCAGUACUUCUAUAAAAAAGUAUUUUAUAUUAAAAUAUAAAUAUAUAUAUAUAUAUAUAUAUAUAUAUAUAUCCAUAAAUAUUCUAUUCUCUCUUAAAAUAAAAGUUUAUGAAAACAUCACUGUCUUUUGCUUGACGCAGUCGGGUAAAAAUUUUUACAGUAAGCUAAACUUAUUGUAACCACAAAAGAGAUAGGCACAGAAGGUUGGCUCCAUACAACGAGUGACGACAGAUGCAUGUAAACAUAGAUGGGUACGUACAUCAGUUGCAUGGAUCCAUGGCAAGUCGUGAGCCAGUGCCCGCGCUUCGCUUUUAUGUUCGUUGCAUUAUUGCUCAAUAUAGGGAGCUGGCCUUCUAUACUUAUCUAUUUUGUGACUUGUAACCGUGUAGUAUUACAAUAUUGAAGACAAUGUAAACUAUCGUAUUUGGAUGCAGUCAACUGACACAGCAUUUUGAUUACACGUGCCAUUUUUCAUAUUUGGGAUAAUAUGACGUAGAUUUACCACUAUUUAAGAGGGUAGCAGUUGAAGUUCGAUUGCAAUACAUUUCUACAAGGGCUAGUAGAAUCACUGACUACCUACGAGAUUACCAGUAUCUACCAGAUCUACAAGAUGUCCACGCAAAUGGCCGAUCAGUUGUUCCCGUCUUCAGAUGAGUCAAUAGUUGACGCUCCAGUCCCAGUCAAGACCAGUAAAAAGAAGCGGAAGACUGCAGAGAAGGCAUCGGGUAGCCAGCCUACCGCUAGUAAGAAGACUAAGUCGAGAGCUACGGUGCGUGAUCUCUUCGGCACGGAUAGCGACGAUGACGAACUGGAUCACAGCGUCGUGAAAUCACCCUCUACUGAUUCACCAUCAAGUUAUAUGUAUUGUGAUAAAUGUAAAACAGAGAUACCGAAACCUGAAUUCAGAUAUCAUAAACGAACUAAUAUCCAUAAAUCGAAUUGUUUGAUAAAGUCAAAGUUUGAACAUAUUGAUAUAAUAGCUACAGCAUUUAAAAACAGAAUAAUGACAUAUCGCUUAAACCCAUCUAUAGAAGACGAGUACCUCCUGCCGGAGGCGUUCUUAGAUGGAAAACGAGACGAUGUUUAUAAAUUAAUUGAGUUAUCAUUAUUAAAACAUACAUGUAUUAAAGUUAACUUUGAGCUGUUUGCUUACUUUGUUUUACCUAAAUCAGGUGAGCAGCAGCUGAAGUCAUUUAAUACAAAAUACGAAGUUAUUUAUAAGAGUACUGAUUUUGAUCAGAUUUAUUUAAAUAUGAGAGAAACUUUUAAGAUGAAAUUAACUGAAUUUGAGCACUGUGAAUCGGGAUGGUCAUUCACAUCACUAAGUCAUUUAGAAAUAAAUAUAAAUAAGUAUUCUCCCAUGAGAGGUGGAUCUUAUAUAGAACUACCCGUUGUUAUUAAAAAUACGAAGAGCUGUAUAAAUGUCUACAAUAACGAUGAAUAUUGUUUUUUAUGGAGCAUCUUAG